UACGGGGGGAGCAAGCGUUGUUCGGAUUUACUGGGCGUAAAGGGUGCGUAGGUGGUGAGGUAAGUCGGAUGUGAAAACCUAAGGCUCAACCUUGGGCUUGCAGUGGGUACGGGCAGACUAGAGUGCGGUAGGGGUGACUGGAAUUCCUGGUGUAGCGGUGGAAUGCGCAGAUAUCAGGAGGAACACCGAUGGCGAAGGCAGGUCACUGGGCCGCAACUGACGCUGAGGAGCGAAAGCAUGGGGAGCGAACAGG
rnacentral:rRNA from 1 species